AGACGUCUACAUUAGAUACCCGUGUAGUCCCAGCCGUAAACUAUGCGCGUUAGGUGUAUCGGUGACCACGAGUCACCGAGGUGCCGAAGGGAAACCGUGAAACGUGCCGCCUGGGAAGUACGGUCGCAAGGCUGAAACUUAAAGGAAUUGCGGGGGAGCACCACAACGGGUGGAGCCUGCGGUUUAAUUGGACUCAACGCCGGGAAGCUCACCGGAUAAGACAGCAAUAUGUAGGCCAGGCUGAAGACCUUGCCUGAAUCGCUG
rnacentral:rRNA from 1 species